UACGAAGGGGGCUAGCGUUGCUCGGAAUCACUGGGCGUAAAGCGCACGUAGGCGGUUUCUUAAGUCAGGGGUGAAAUCCCGGAGCUCAACUCCGGAACUGCCUUUGAUACUGGGAGACUUGAGUUCGGGAGAGGUGAGUGGAACUGCGAGUGUAGAGGUGAAAUUCGUAGAUAUUCGCAAGAACACCAGUGGCGAAGGCGGCUCACUGGCCCGAUACUGACGCUGAGGUGCGAAAGCGUGGGGAGCAAACAGG
rnacentral:rRNA from 2 species